rnacentral:pre_miRNA from 1 species
AUAAUACUCCCUCCGUCCGGAAAUACUUGUCAUCAAAAUGGAUAAAAGGAGAUGUAUCUAGAUGUAUUUUAGUUCUAGAUACAUCCCUUUUUAUUCAUUUUGAUGACAAGUAUUUUCGGACGGAGGGAGUAUAAG